rnacentral:miRNA from 10 species
AAUUCGUUUUUAGUGUAAGUAUGUCCCAUGCAAUAUUUGGGACAUACUUCUACUAAAAAGUUUGCCCAUUAUUUGGAAUUCAAAUGUAACU